rnacentral:rRNA from 1 species
UACGUAGGGUGCAAGCGUUAAUCGGAAUUACUGGGCGUAAAGCGUGCGCAGGCGGUUUUGUAAGUCUGUCGUGAAAGCCCCGGGCUCAACCUGGGAAUUGCGAUGGAGACUGCAAGGCUUGAAUCUGGCAGAGGGGGUAGAAUUCCACGUGUAGCAGGUGAAAUGCGUAGAGAUGAUGGAGGAACACCGAUGGCGAAGGCAGCCCCCUGGGUCAAGAUUGACGCUCAUGCACGAAAGCGUGGGGAGCAAACAGGA